rnacentral:snRNA from 1 species
GUGUUCACUUUAGCAGCACAGACGCUGAAACUGGAGGGGUACAGAGAUUAUUAGCUCAGCACCUGCGCAAAGAGUGACUUGCGGAUUCACAAACCAUUCCAUAUUUAA